rnacentral:rRNA from 1 species
GAUGAACGCUGGCGGCGUGCCUAAUACAUGCAAGUCGAGCGAACGGACGAGAAGCUUGCUUCUCUGAUGUUAGCGGCGGACGGGUGAGUAACACGUGGAUAACCUACCUAUAAGACUGGGAUAACUUCGGGAAACCGGAGCUAAUACCGGAUAAUAUUUUGAACCGCAGGGUUCAAAAGUGAAAGACGGUCUUGCUGGCACUUAUAGAUGGAUCCGCGCUGCAUUAGCUAGUUGGUAAGGUAACGGCUUACCAAGGCAACGAUGCAUAGCCGACCCGAGAGGGUGAUCGCCCACACUGGAACUGAGACACGGUCCAGCCUCCUACGGGAGGCCGCAGUAGGGAAUCUUCCGCAAUGGGCGAAAGCCUUACGGAGCAACGCCGCGUGAGUGAUGAAGGUCUUCGGAUCGUAAAACUCUGUUAUUAGGGAAGAACAUAUGUGUAAGUAACCGUGCACAUCUUGACGGUACCUAAUCAGAAAGCCACGGCUAACUACGUG